AGAGUUUGAUCCUGGCUCAGAUUGAACGCUGGCGGCAUGCCUUACACAUGCAAGUCGAACGGCAGCACGGGAGCAAUCCUGGUGGCGAGUGGCGAACGGGUGAGUAAUACAUCGGAACGUGCCCAAUCGUGGGGGAUAACGCAGCGAAAGCUGUGCUAAUACCGCAUACGAUCUACGGAUGAAAGCAGGGGAUCGCAAGACCUUGCGCGAAUGGAGCGGCCGAUGGCAGAUUAGGUAGUUGGUGAGGUAAAGGCUCACCAAGCCUUCGAUCUGUAGCUGGUCUGAGAGGACGACCAGCCACACUGGGACUGAGACACGGCCCAGACUCCUACGGGAGGCAGCAGUGGGGAAUUUUGGACAAUGGGCGAAAGCCUGAUCCAGCCAUGCCGCGUGCAGGAUGAAGGCCUUCGGGUUGUAAACUGCUUUUGUACGGAACGAAACGGCCUUUUCUAAUAAAGAGGGCUAAUGACGGUACCGUAAGAAUAAGCACCGGCUAACUACGUGCCAGCAGCCGCGGUAAUACGUAGGGUGCAAGCGUUAAUCGGAAUUACUGGGCGUAAAGCGUGCGCAGGCGGUUAUGUAAGACAGUUGUGAAAUCCCCGGGCUCAACCUGGGAACUGCAUCUGUGACUGCAUAGCUAGAGUACGGUAGAGGGGGAUGGAAUUCCGCGUGUAGCAGUGAAAUGCGUAGAUAUGCCG
rnacentral:rRNA from 1 species